UUGAGCCACAUCCCCAGCCCCUUUCAUCUUCUUAAAGUGGAGUAAUUUGUCUAAAUCAGAAAUUUUAUAAGAGUUGUUUCAGAAUGUAAAUUUAUAAAAAGGGUUAACAGUUAAAAAAGAGAUAUAAAAAGAUUCAAGAUGUGGGAAUAUAUUUUAAUAUAAAAGGUUAAAGGAAAAAGAAAUGUUUUUAGAUGAGAUAAUCUCUGUGUGGUAAAGUAAAAAGUUGUAAAAUGCCAUUUAAAAAAUUUUGAGGAAACUAGACUUACUUUAAAAGCUUGAGAAAAGAAGAAAUAAAAAAAAGGUAUUUGUACAUGGCAGAUUGAGACAAAGUUUCUCAAUGGAGUUAAAAAAAAAAAAAGCCUUUGGUUGUAGGGCAGCCAUGUAAACUAACAUUGAAGCGAUUUAAACAAAAUCUAAGCCUCGUUUAAAAGAGUGAAGCUGUAGGUGGUGAAAAAGUACAUUUAAAAGUACAGUAUAGAUGAUAAUUGGAAGGCUUUAAAAGGUUAAAUUGAAGGUGGUCGAGAUACCUUCAUGGCGGAAAAAAGAUUGCUUUAUUGCAUCAUUCGAAGCCUAGUUAAUCUUAAAGGCAUUACUUAAAAAAUGGGAAGAUAAUAGGAUAAAAGAUAUUUAGAUAAAAAAGAUUAAAAAUUUGAAGUG
rnacentral:lncRNA from 1 species